rnacentral:rRNA from 1 species
AUGGCGCCCGGGGACCUCGACGCCGCGAUCCGGAGGGAGGAGGAGUCCCCAUUUGUGGAGUACAAUGCCUUGUACGCGUACCACUCCCUCUACGCCUACUUCGACCGAGACAAUGUUGCCCUUAAGGGCUUUGCCAAGUUAUUUAAGGAAUCGAGCGACGAGGAGAGGGAACACGCGGAGAUGCUUAUGGAGUACCAGAACAGACGUGGAGGGCGGGUGAGGCUCCAGUCUAUCGUGACCCCAUUAACAGACUUCGACCACUCUGAGAAAGGCGAUGCUCUGUAUGGGCGAGGCCGGAGAUGUCUGUGCGGUGAUGUCCCUGGGGUAGCGCCACUAUGCCUGACGCUUGCCCUGGUCGCCGCAGUGGUGCUUCGGCGGCUUCCAGACCCUCUCCUGGAUGUGGUGAUGGUCACACCAUAG